rnacentral:tRNA from 14 species
GCGGUCGUGGCGGAAUUGGUAGACGCGCAGCGUUGAGGUCGCUGUGCCCGAAAGGGCGUGGAAGUUCGAGUCUUCUCGACCGCACCA